UACGUAGGGUGCGAGCGUUGUCCGGAAUUAUUGGGCGUAAAGAGCUCGUAGGCGGUGUGUCACGUCGUUCGUGAAAACCUGCAGCUUAACUGUGGGCGUGCGGUCGAUACGGGCAUCACUGGAGUUCGGCAGGGGAGACUGGAAUUCCUGGUGUAGCGGUGAAAUUCGCAGAUAUCAGGAGGAACACCGGUGGCGAAGGCGGGUCUCUGGGCAGUAACUGACGCUGAGGAGCGAAAGCGUGGGGAGCGAACAGG
rnacentral:rRNA from 1 species